rnacentral:rRNA from 1 species
UCAGGCCUAACACAUGCAAGUCGAACGGUAACAUGAACUAGCUUGCUAGUUUGAUGACGAGUGGCGGACGGGUGAGUAAUGCUUGGGAAUUUGCCUUGAGGUGGGGGACAACAGUUGGAAACGACUGCUAAUACCGCAUAUUGUCUACGGACUAAAGGGGGCUUCGGCUCUCGCCUUUAGAGAAGCCCAAGUGGGAUUAGGUAGUUGGUGAGGUAAAGGCUCACCAAGCCGACGAUCCCUAGCUGGUCUGAGAGGAUGAUCAGCCACACUGGAACUGAGACACGGUCCAGACUCCUACGGGAGGCAGCAGUGGGGAAUAUUGCACAAUGGGCGCAAGCCUGAUGCAGCCAUGCCGCGUGUGUGAAGAAGGCCUUCGGGUUGUAAAGCACUUUCAGUCGUGAGGAAGGGUUAGUAGUUAAUACCUGCUAGCUUUGACGUUAGCGACAGAAGAAGCACCGGCUAACUCCGUGCCAGCAGCCGCGGUAAUACGGAGGGUGCGAGCGUUAAUCGGAAUUACUGGGCGUAAAGCGUACGCAGGCGGUUAGUUAAGUCAGAUGUGAAAGCCCCGGGCUCAACCUGGGAACUGCAUUUGAAACUGGCUAACUAGAGUGCGGCAGAGGGUGGUAGAAUUUCAGGUGUAGCGGUGAAAUGCGUAGAGAUCUGAAGGAAUACCGAUGGCGAAGGCAGCCACCUGGGCCGA